UACUGGUAAACCUGUUGAGACAUGAAUGUCUUUAGUGCGGACUUAAAUUGAUUAAAAGUCUGCUGAUUCUUGAUCUGUAGUGGAAGUUCGUUCCAUAAUAUAGGACAAGCUGAUCUGAAAGACCUAUACCCAUAUGACUUUAAAUUAUAUCUUGGAACAACUAGUGACUGUUUAUUUUGAGAGUGAAGUGACCUAAUAGGGUUGUAGUCAUAUAAGAGUUCAGAUAAGUAUUGAGGAGCUGCGUUAUUGCGACAUUUAUACACUAAUAUUUCACUUUUACUGAACCUGAUUACAUUACAGCAUGGUGAUACAUCAUUUUUCAACAGCAAGUUAACCAUCAAGGUCAACUGCCAAUUGUCAGAUUAGUAGUCGUCUCGAUUCGCACUUUUGUAGAAGAUUAUUAGAAAGAGAUUGUACUUCGUUUCCUAAAGUCCCUGAAUGUGGUACAGAUGGUGUUACCUACAUUAACCAAUGUGACUAUACUCAAGCCAGAUGCAAGGGUAUCCAUACAGAUAUAGCCCAUAAAGGUAGCUGUACACCAACCAGUACUAAUCAGACAAUGCCUGGUUUUAAUGGUGAUCAAGCAGCUUUAGAUUAUCUCUGUAUUCAAC